CAAACCAAAGCUGGCGACCGGCGCACGGGUGAGUAACACGUAUCCAACCUGCCUCAUACUCGGGGAUAGCCUUUCGAAAGAAAGAUUAAUAUCCGAUAGCAUAUAUUUCCCGCAUGGGUUUUAUAUUAAAGAAAUUCGGUAUGAGAUGGGGAUGCGUUCCAUUAGUUUGUUGGGGGGUAACGGCCCGCCAAGACUACGAUGGAUAGGGGUUCUGAGAGGAAGGUCCCCCACAUUGGAACUGAGACACGGUCCAA
rnacentral:rRNA from 1 species